GAUGAACGCUGGCGGCGUGCCUAAUACAUGCAAGUCGAGCGAACAGAUGAGGAGCUUGCUCCUCUGACGUUAGCGGCGGACGGGUGAGUAACACGUGGAUAACCUACCUAUAAGACUGGGAUAACUUCGGGAAACCGGAGCUAAUACCGGAUAAUAUAUUGAACCGCAUGGUUCAAUAGUGAAAGACGGUUUUGCUGUCACUUAUAGAUGGAUCCGCGCCGCAUUAGCUAGUUGGUAAGGUAACGGCUUACCAAGGCAACGAUGCGUAGCCGACCUGAGAGGGGGAGCGGCCAAACGGGAAAUGGAACACGGCCCAAACCCCCACGGGGGGCAGGAGUAGGGAAUUUUCCGAAAUGGGGAAAAGCCUGAGGGGAAAACGCCGGGGGGGGAGUAAAGGUUUUGGGAAUGUAAAACUUUUUUAUAAGGGAAAAAAAAAUGGGAAAGAAAAUAGCAACGUUUUGACGGUACCUAACAAAAAAACCACGGCUAACUACGG
rnacentral:rRNA from 1 species